CCUUUGGGAUUUCACAAAUGCUCUUCUCCCUCACUUCGCGAACGAACGGAGGCGGCGCGGCACCGGAGUAAAGCGCGUCUCCAACUCGAGGACCGGCGCUCUCUUUUCUCGCUCAAUCCUCUCACGUUCAACUUAUCUCUGAUUCUGGUUUCGUCUCGCUUCUCUCUCCGAUUCAACUCACACCGCCGGUGGAUGUUUCAAGGUGACGGCGUCUCACUUACCAAGCACUUGUUGUUCGCAGAUCGGAGAUUUGGUGCGGACGACUAUUGUUGACGAUGAAGAUGGAAACCCGUGAAGAUUGAAGGUUGUCAUGUGCUGGUGAUUCGAUGAUGACACAAGAUGAAGAUAGUGAUCUGAGAAUCAAUUUCGCGAAGAACUUCACAACGUUGAAACCAUGAGAAUUGAAGGAUGAUAAGUGAAUCGUUCUGAGAAUUGAAGAGGAAGAUUGUGAAGGAAUGAAUUGUGGUGAUGAAGAAGCAAAAGAUGGUGAGGAUUAUGAACGAUGAAGAGUGAGUUGCGGAUCGAGAGAGAUAAAGAUUGAAUGGUGAGAAAGAAGAAGAAGGUGAAAUGGUGAAGAAUGAUGGAGAUUCAGAGAGUUGUGAAGAGAAUUGGAAGAUGAAGAUUGUGAUGGAAAAAUGGUGGAGAAGUGAAGUUGUGGAAAUGAUUGUGGUGAGUUGAUGGUGAUCUGCGGUGGUUGCUGAAGGUGAUGUGAAGUGAGGGAUUGAUGAUGAAUGAAAGUUGAAAGUGAUGGAGAUGAAUGGUGAAGCGUGUGUAUGAACUUUAGACUCAGCACUUCUUCUCUCAAAGUUUGCAAGCGAAACAAUGACGAAGAUAUGUGAUCGUGCUUUCUGGUGUAGCUUUCUGAGUGGGUGGAGCUGACUAUUUAUAGGAGCAAUGAUUGGAUACUGAUAAUGAGCCCUUGAAUGUGGGACUCAAAAUUACAGUUUGCAGUGAAUUUUUCUGAUUUCUUGAAUGUGGGACUUGUAUUUGGUUCUUCCUGAUUUUCCUUCUUCUUUUAUGCAGGUAUGAGUUGGUGCUACCAUGGGUAUUGUUGGGCUGAAAAUAAGCAAAGGAACGCAGCAUCGUUCUCUCCUUGUUCUUUAGCAAGAAUUGCCAGCUUUGAUGUUUUGGCUUUUUCUGUUAUGGGUUUGAUGGAUGUAUUUGAAUUUGGUUUAACAGGCUGUAGCUGCUUUGAAACUGUUUUCUUCUUUGGUUUAUGGUGCAGGAACUUUGAACUGUGAAGAAGAAAUUGAAGGUGGGCUUGUGAUGGUAUGACGAAACUGUCGAAGCUAAUGAUGGUUUUUCUUGUUUGAUGCAGUGAUAGGCUCUUGGUCACGACUCGACUAUGGUUUGGAACAAACGGCCUCGGUUCUGGAUCAGGUUUGGAGGAAGAUUGAUUCAAUGGAUUUUGGCUUAUACCUUUGACUGUGCUUCUUCGGCUCAUCUGCUGUUUGGAUCAUAUCUUUGGGAUGUUAUGGAUAGCUGUACGAAUACGGACCCAGGAUGAUGAUUGGAUGUAUGGUAUGCCUUGCAUAUAUAUGAACCGAUCUCGAUGGUGGACUUGAAUGGAGGGUGCAGCAAGUGAUUGAAAUGGAGUUGAAGUGGAAUCCUUCGAAUGCUUCGAUGAAGUUCCUCUUCUUUCUCAAGAUUCAAGCUAUGGUGCGAAUACUGACAUGAUGAUACCUCUUGAUAUGGCUUGGCAAUGUUUGAAGGAGUGAAUUAAAAUGUCAAAAUGUAUUUUUGUGUAAUUUUCAAUGUGAUGCCCAUGUGAUGUAAUGGUGUAUUUGAUAUAGAAUAACUUUGUAAAGUAGAAGGCUGGUAUGGUUAUGGUUAUGAUGGUAGGGUGCAGAGUUGGUACCUAUCCUGACUUGAAGUAAAUUUGAAAUCAGUUUCUUCUUACUGGUGUUGCAUUUUUGUAUGGACUUUGAAAUGUAUAUAAUGGAACUAUUUCAGGAGCUACUAUGUACAGGGACCGUGUCAACAUGAGUUGAUGUGGUGUGGUAAUCUCUUAGAAUGAAAUCUCUCAAAUCUCUUUUGAAUUUCCUCUUUCCUCCGCUUGUUUUUUUUGU